AUUGAACGCUGGCGGCAUGCCUUACACAUGCAAGUCGAACGGCAGCGGGGGAGAAGCUUGCUUUUCCUGCCGGCGAGUGGCGAACGGGUGAGUAAUACAUCGGAACGUGCCCUGUAGUGGGGGAUAACUAGUCGAAAGAUUAGCUAAUACCGCAUACGACCUGAGGGUGAAAGUGGGGGACCGCAAGGCCUCAUGCUAUAGGAGCGGCCGAUGUCUGAUUAGCUAGUUGGUGGGGUAAAUGCCUACCAAGGCGACGAUCAGUAGCUGGGCUGAGACGACGAUCCGCCAAACUGGGGCUGGGUCACGGCCCAGACUCAGAGGGGAGGCAGGAGUGGGGAAUUGUGGACAAUGGGCGAAAGCCUGAUCCAGCGAUGCCGCGUGUGUGAAGAAGGCCUUCGUGUUGUAAAGCACUUUUGUCCGGAAAGAAAUGGCUCUGGUUAAUACCUGGGGUCGAUGACGGUACCGGAAGAAUAAGGACCGGCUAACUACGUGCCAGCCGCCGCGGUAA
rnacentral:rRNA from 1 species